AGAGCUCACACCAAAGUAUGCAGCCCUCCAGCAGCAGGUCUCUCUGCAAAUAUGCAGGUUUCUGUGGGACGUAGUGUUUAACUAGUAAUGGAUGACAGGAGUGAGAACAGCUAUGUGAGUUGUGAUGGAGUGGAUGAUCUGAUCAGUCUGGUGACAGAGCUACAGGAGAAAUAGAAAUGUUAAGGAGCAGCAGGGAGUCUAAGAAAAAGAUUGACUGGUGAAACCAUUUUCUGCCUCCUCUGAGACACCAAUAACCUCCAGAUUAUUCUGGAAUAACCAGGAAAAAAGGCCAAGGUAAAGAGGACUCUGUAUCAUCUCCCCAAGAAGCAAGAGGCUGUAGCUUAAAGGAUAGGAAUCAAUGGAAGCGAGUCCACCCUUAGGGCAACAGAUGCAGAAUCUGGCACUUUCCCUUGUUAAAAUUCAUGUGGUUGGUGACUGCCCAGGUUGUUAAUGAAGAUGUUGAAGGGAACUGGUCUGAGGAUGGAGCCCUGUGGAACACCACAAGUGACCAGCCAGCCUGAUGUUAUCACAUUUACUACAACUGUUUGUGCCCAGCCUGUGAUCCACUUGCUCACCCAUCACAUAACAUGUGACAUUUU